rnacentral:tRNA from 1 species
GGGGAGGUGGCUCAGUGGUUAACAGCACUGGCUACUCUUACAGAGAACCUGGGUUCAAUUCCCAGCACCCACA